rnacentral:rRNA from 1 species
AUUGAACGCUGGCGGCAUGCUCUACACAUGCAAGUCGAACGGUAACAGGCCGCAAGGUGCUGACGAGUGGCGAACGGGUGAGUAAUGCAUCGGAACGUGCCCAGUCGUGGGGGAUAACUACUCGAAAGAGUAGCUAAUACCGCAUACGAUCUAUGGAUGAAAGCGGGGGACCGUAAGGCCUCGCGCGAUUGGAGCGGCCGAUGUCAGAUUAGGUAGGUGGUGGGGUAAAGGCUCACCAAGCCAACGAUCUGUAGCUGGUCUGAGAGGACGACCAGCCACACUGGGACUGAGACACGGCCCAGACUCCUACGGGAGGCAGCAGUGGGGAAUUUUGGACAAUGGGCGCAAGCCUGAUCCAGCAAUGCCGCGUGCAGGAAGAAGGCCUUCGGGUUGUAAACUGCUUUUGUACGGAACGAAACGGCUCUGGUUAAUACCCGGGGCUAAUGACGGUACCGUAAGAAUAAGCACCGGCUAACUACGUG